AGAGUGGGACGGACAAAAAAUAAACCAAAAUAUUCGUCAUCUCCGUGAAAUAGAUUUAGUACGAAAAAAAAACCAUCAUCGAACAAUUAACAAGGAAGGACAAAGUAGCUGAAACUGACUAAUUUGACAGCUGAAAAUGAUACAAGUCUAUGAUAAAGCCAUCGUUAACUAAAAGAAACGUGCAAGUAACAAUUCGUUUGCAACUCGCAAAAAUGGCCUGAUUUAGAAAGUAUUAUUUAAACCGUUGUUGACAGUUACCAUCCAAAUUAUCUUACAGGAAAUGCGAUAAAUAUGUUUAGAGUGCAAAGUAAACGUACCUGAAGUACGAGUACCAUCGAUCCACAGCUUGAAACCUUCCCCAUCACAUUCAGUGGAUGCCAUCUGGAAUUUUGACAUUUUCUUACAUCCGGAUUUUAUCCCUUUUUAAGCCUUAUGUAUCUUGUCUAUACCUUAUUUAAUGUGGAGCUGUUGAAUGUUCAGUCAGUGCCAUACGCGUGUAAUCUUGAAUAACAAUGUUCGCUUUGCAACAUUCCAUAAAUUUAUUCGAAUAAAUAAGGGAGGCAAGCUUUA